rnacentral:rRNA from 1 species
GACGGAGGAUGCAAGUGUUAUCCGGAAUCACUGGGCGUAAAGCGUCUGUAGGUGGUUUAAAAAGUCCACUGUUAAAAAUUGAAGCUUAACUUCAAAGAUGCCGUGGAAACUUUUAAACUUGAGUAUGAUAGGGGUAGAGGGAAUUUCCAGUGGAGCGGUGAAAUGCGUAGAUAUUGGAAAGACCACCAAUGGCGAAGGCACUCUACUGGGCCAUUACUGACAUGAGAGACGAAAGCUAGGGGAGCGAAUGGG